AGGUGUUGCCAUGGCCAUGGCGGGAGGUAGUUGAGGUGGCAGUGUAGGUUUGGUUGUUUUGUUUUUUUAGGGGGGUAGGAGGUAGGACGGGAAGGGUGGCUGGGGUAGAAUGGUGUGGGUAGAGCUUCCUGCUGAUCUUGAGUUUGAGUGAGGUUGUUGAAGUGGCAUGUAUACUGGAUUGCUCCUUGAGGUUUGCUGGUACAGCACUGUAUCGACAUGGAUUUUCAUCACCAGGACCACUUGCUGAUGCGGAGGACAAUCUAAAAGAGGUAUUUGUCGGUGAAGUAAUGUCUUGGAAGAUUAUUUGUUUAUUAGUUCAAUAAAGUUAGAAAAAUACCUGUAAGACUGAGUUCAAUGUAAGUUUUGUUUUUUAAUUCACAUAAAACCGGAACAUGGUAAAAUGUAUUUAGCGACAGAUUUUUAUAAAUGACCUUCUGUCCUUUAAACCAAAUGUAAACAAUUUUAUAACAACUCUUUAUAUGAUGAAACAAUAAAAUUAUCAUGAUUAAUGAAAGAGCAUAUUCCAAAUUGACACAGUCUUCAUCACAAGGACCCCUCUGCCAGUUCGGAGGACGACUUGACGACGACGCAAAUGAUACCACGGCCGGACCAUCAACAGGAGGACCCCUCUGCUGGAGCGGAGGAUGACCUGGACAACGACGCCAAGGAUACCACGGCCGGACCAUCAACAGGAGAGCCCCUCCGCUGGAGCGGAGGAUGGCCCGGACAACCAAAAGGAUACCAAGACGGACCAUCGACAGGAGGACCCCUCUGCUGGAGUGGAGGAUGACCUGG